CAGGAGUCGAAGUACCCGUAUGUUCGGUUUCGAGAAUUCCUUUUUCUAAAUUUGUAUUGUCGUAAAGCACCGAUCGGUAUAUCCACUCUAUUAUUCCUGACCUAAUUAAAAACAGCCUUCAUAAUUUUGACCCAUGGUUUUGACACUGGGCAUAGAUACUGACUCACCAAGAAGUAACUGAACCAAUGGAUGUGGAGUCAUUGAUUAGAUGUCGAAAAUGAGAUUCUGAAGACAAACUAUUAAACAAAUUACAUUGCAUCUUGAUAGUGAGAACAGAACGACAGAAAUAGUAGAACAGUUUCAACUGACAUGUAAAAGAAAAACUGGGGCAGGGGGUGAAAUUGCUGCUGAAAAUGAAACACUUUCAACAAUUUAAUUUAAUACAAUAUUCAUUGUUUUUUGUGUUUGACAUAUUGCUGCUAAAGAGUAAUUCAGACUUGCAGACUUGGGAUUCAGUUUGACACCACCCAUCAAAUGGUAAUCUUUAAUUGCUCAGUUGACUGUACACUUUAAUAUAAAGUGGCAUAAUUUUGUUAUUUAUGAUUGUAUCACAGUAAAAUUUGACAUGAGUAUGUGACAAUGUUCUUGCUAUGAACUGACAGCAGUGGAGUCAUUUUCGUCACCCAAACAGCAUCACACAAGGGCGCUGAAAUCAGUACCUUGUGUGUCUACCAGCAGCAGCAAUCACUGCACGACAUCUCCUUGGCAUAGACUGAAUGAGUCUUUGAAUCCGGGCACAUGGAAUCCUAGCCCGUUCUUCCUGCAGUGCAUGUGACAGUUGCGGAAGCGUCUGAGGCUCCGGGUAACGUUGACGUACACGUCUGUCCAGUUCGUCCCAUAGAUGUUCAAUGGGGUUGAGAUAUGGCAAUCUUGA